rnacentral:rRNA from 1 species
AGAGUUUGAUCCUGGCUCAGAAUGAACGCUGGCGGCGUUUACACAUGCAAGUCGAGCGAGGCGGCCCGCAAGCAGCGAGCGGCGGACGGAGUAACGCGUGGAUAACCUGCCCUGAGGUGGGGAACAACCAGGGGAAACUCUGGCUAAUACCGCAUGAUACCGAAAGGUCAAAGGGGGGCCGCAAGGCUCUCGCCGCAGAGGGGUCCGCGUCCGAUUAGCUAGUUGGUAGGGUAAUGGCCUACCAAGGCGACGAUCGGUAGCCGCCUGAGAGGGUGAUCGGCCACACUGGAAUGAGACACGGUCCAGACUCUCGGGAGGCAGCAGUGGGGAAUUUUGCGCAAUGGCUAACGCCGNNGCAGCAACCCGCGUGGAGGAUGAAGGUCUUUGGAUUGUAAACUCCUGUCAGCGGGGAAAAAGCGACCGGUGCUCAUCCAUCGGGAUUGAUUGUACCCGCAGAGGAAGCCCCGGCUAACUCUGUGCCAGCAGCCGCGGUAAUACAGAGGGGGCAAGCGUUAUUCGGAAUUAUUGGGCGUAAAGGGCGCGUAGGCGGCUUGGCAAGUGGAAGGUGAAAUCCCUCGGCUUAACCGAGGAACUGCCCUCCAAACUGCUUUGCUUGAGGCCGGGAGAGGCGAGUGGAAUUCCCAGUGUAGCGGUGAAAUGCGUAGAUAUUGGGAGGAACACCAGUGGCGAAGGCGGCUCGCUGGACCGGUUCUGACGCUGAGGCGCGAAAGCGUGGGGAGCAAACGGGAUUAGAUACCCUAGUAGUCC